ACUUGUUACUGAUUUACUCUUGUCUGCCAUAGGCUUAGUUUUCUGUGUCCUUGCCAUGGCAACACCUGGAUUCUUCAUUAAUAAGUACAUUAUGAUGAGAGCAUCUUUUACACCAGAUUGUGUGGAAUUGAUUCAUGUUCAACAUGGUCUUACGUAGCUCUUGAUGAAGAAAACAAAGGGACAUCUCAGCUUUCAAUGAUAGAUGCACAACUAGAGAGCCUUCUUGCUUUAGUUCUUGGUGGAGUCGGUUGGUUGAUUCUUUUUUCGAAUGUCAAGAAAGAAGUAUCAUUUCCACCUAAGAUCUUGCUUGGUGGAAUUUUCCUUCUUAUCUCAGGUACAUCUGAGUUUGUCGUCCUAUUACGAUUUUUCGCUAUAAACGCCUCACAUAAAGCAUUAGAAGAGGGAAAAAAUCCCAUCAAGGUUCCAUACUCCCUUAUUUUUGCUGGCGUUGGUAUUGUAUUCAUUCUAUCUGCUGUGAAGAGAAUUUUCAGUAGCUAUAUAAGAACUACGGAGAUUCAUCAACGGAUGACGGCUGAACCAGGGAGAGAUAUUACAGAAAGCAUGAUCUAAAGCUUAAUGAUUGAUUCAAAUACACUUCUUUAAUAUGUUCUUUAAGAUGUUACUUCUUUAAUAUGUUCUUUAAGAUGUUUUUAAAAGCUUAAACUUACAUUUGAUGUUACUAAUCAUAUCAGUAUUAUUUACAAGAAUCGGUUAAUAUAUCCCGUAAAAAAUCAUGUCAACUUUGAGAAGUCUUCUGGGUAACGCAACCAAUAAUAACCAUUUCAGCCCAUUUCUUUCAUCUAGCCAUGGAAUUAUUCUAAAUCUUGUCAUUGUUUUCUAUUUUACCUAAUA